rnacentral:lncRNA from 1 species
AAACUUAAGGAUCUAACUGCAAAUUAACCCUUAACUAAAUUACCUGCCCAUGUCAUAGUCGGCAGUUCAGCUUGGAGCCCUCUUGGAUCGGCUCUCCCUCACUUGGCUGCUCUGACCUAAUCCCCUCUUUCUCUGGUCGCUGUCUUUCUCUUCGAUUUCUUCUUCUCCGACGACCACUUCACUGAGCUCGUGGUUUUUCUUCAGGUCUUCUAUUAUUCCAGCCAGUUCUACCCGCCUCGUAUCAUGGUAUCCCUCUCGAAAACCACCUUGUCCUCAAGGUGUAUUGAGGGAAAAGACUUGUGCAGAACUGUAACAUCUUCCCACGAGGAAUCUUCAACUGGUUCUCCGUCCUACUGGACCAGAGCUUGCUGAAAUCGCACUCUCUUCCGGUAGACAAUCCUAUAAUCUAUAAUAGCUAGAGGAAUCAAAAUAGGGUUAUUUUUUACCGCUAUUAAAGGUGUCAAAUCUUUAUCUUCAGGUGGGCUGCCAAUGAAUUUCUUCAGCAAGGAUAUAUGAAAUGUGUUAUGGAUUCGACUUCCCGGAGGCAGAGAUAAUCUGUAAGCAACCCUGCUGAUAUUUUUUUUUAUUUUGUAGGGACCAAAAUAUUUCUUAUUUAGUUUGUUAUGUAGUCAAACUGCAACUGAUGAUUGUCUGUAGCGCUUUAGCCUGACCAACACCCAAUCAUCCACAUUAAACUGUAUUUCCUGUCUAUGUUUAUCAGCAUUUGACUUCAUCCUUUUUUGGGCUUUGAUUAAAUUGUUUUUCAUUGUCUCCAAAGCAUACUCCCUAUCACUUAAUUCUCUGUCCACAGCAUCAAUAGAAGAACUACCUUCGAUAUAGUUUGGUAAAAUAAGAGCUUCCUUUCCAUAUAAUAUUUAGAAUGAUGUUUGCCCGAUAGAGGAGUUGUAAUUGGUAUUGAACCAAAACUCUGCUCAAGUAAGAAGAGAAAGCCAUUUUUUUGGAUCCUCGUGGGCUAGAGAUCUUAAAUACAUCUCGAUGCUUCUAUUAACAACCUCAGUUUGGCCAUCACUCUGAGGGUGGUAAGCAGUAGAAAAAUUCAGAGUUGUCCCACUAAGCUUAUUUAACUCUUGGGUGAUAGUAAACAUUUCUUUGAUAUAUAUAGAUGCUGAAGCCAUUCUUCCCCCUAUUUUUUUACUAUAGAAGGCUAUAGGGUGCUCCUCUUGUUGAAAAACUACACCAAUUCCUGUAUUACAAGCAUCAGUUUUCACAAUAAAUUUUUUAUCAAAAUCUGGAAAUUUAAGCACUGGAACCUUAGACAUGACCUCCUUUAACCUGUCAAAGCUAUUGGUAGCUAACUCAGAUCAGGAGAAGGAAUCCUUCUUUAAUAAAUCUGUCAUGGAUGAAGCAAUUUGAGCUUACCCUUUGAUGAAUUUUCUGUAGUAACCUGUAAAUCCUAAGAAUCCUCAUAAUUGCUUCAAAUUUUUAGGUGCAGGCCACUCUAACAUGGCUGAAAUCAUUGCUGGAUCAGGAUUUACCCCAUCUUUGCUAAUAAUGUGGCCCAAAAAUCCCAUAGUUUCUUGGCCAAAACAACAUUUGGAUUUCUUAACUAACAAUUGGUUUUAUUUCAUUAGAUCAAAAAUAAGCUCUAGAUGUUUAACAUGAUCUGAAAUAGAAGUACUAUACACCAGAAUAUCGUCAAAAAAAAUGAUCACAAACUUCCUUAAAUACCUCUGAAAAACCCUGUUCAUGGCUGCUUGGAAUGUGGCUGGGGCAUUUGUAAGCCCAAAUGGCAUUACCAAGAACUCAUAGUGUCCCUGAUGUGUCCUAAAGGUUGUUUUUUCAGUAUCAUUGGGAUUUAUUCUUAUCUGGUGAAAACCUGAUCUUAAAUCUAACUUUGAGAAGAUGACAGCAUCCUUCAACUCUCCCAAUAAUUCUUCUGUAGGGAUUGAAAAUUUGUCUUUCAUAGUGAUUGCAUUCAAGGCUCUGUAGUCUACACAAAGUCUAUAACCCCCAUCUUUCUUUUUGACCAACAACACAGGAGAUGAGUAAGGACUAGUACUAGGUUUCACAGUUCCUUGAUUUAAUAAUUCUUUAACUAGCUUUUCAAUCUCCCCUUUUUGAAAUUGGGGAAAUCUAUAUGGCCUUACAUUUACAGGAUUGGAAUUAGGUUAUAAAUGUAUAAAGUGAUCAAUAGCUCUUUGUGGUGGUAAUCCUUUGGGUUCUUCAAAUAUUUCAAAGAAAACUUCUACUACCUGAUUUACAACUGUCAAUUCUGAAAUUGAUAAACUGUUUAUACUUGGUUCUUCAAUAUAUUUAAAAUAACAUAAGUAUGCUUCAGAAAUAGAGGCAUGUAAUGACUUUAGUUGCCCACUUGUAAGUGGUUCACUAUUUAGCCAAGAAAUCCCUCUCCAUAUUACUAUUUUUCCUUCCCAUUCAAAUUUCAUACAAAGCUCCUUAUAAUUAGAGAUCACAUCCCCCAACUCUUUGAGCCAUUGGGUGUCAUUGACUAUGUUAGACCUGUCAUAGGUAAUAGAAACAGAUCAAUAGAAAUUACUACUCCUUGGAUCUUGAUCUGAACUUGUUUGCAAACUUUAUCACAUAGUGACUUCUCCCCACUGCCUGUGGAAACUCUGAAUGGAUUAAUUGCUUGUACCACCAUGUGAAGUCUUGUAGCCACAUCCACUUGCAUGAAAUUGUGAGUGGACCCUGGAUCUACCAGUACGCUUACACUUUGGCUUUUUAUGAAGUCUUCAAGCAUAAUAGUUCUGACCCCUAUUUUACUUUGGUAAGCCUGUAAACUGAUUUCAGUAUCAGCUUCCCCUUCCACAAUAAUUUGUUCCUCCUCUUCAUGUGUGCAUUCAAUCUCAACUUCCUCCCCUUCUAAUUCCCAUAAUGUGUUGUCUUCUACCGAAAAUCUGAAUAACUUGCCUUUACAUUUGUGAUCUGGGGUAAAGCUUUCUUCACAAUUGAAACAAAAACCCUUGACAGUCCUUUCCCUUCUCUCAGCAGGAGAUAGUCUUUUAAAAACAGGGGCAUUUGGGGUUGUUUUAUUUGCUGCAAAAGGCUGAUUAGUGAUUGCAAUGUUGCUGCCAUAAUUCAUAUUUCCAGAAGUUUUGCCAAUAAAAGAUCUUCCUGGAUUUGGUCUAUACCCACCAGAUUUGUAGCCCACAGAACCUUGGUUUUCCAGAUGUACAGCCAAUUCCAUAGCCUCUUGAAUGUCUGUAAGCUUGGCCUUAACUACCUCUGUUAAAUAUUCAUCAUUUAAACCCGAAAUAAACAUUUCUAACAGUAGCCAAUCAGGAAUACCAACCACUUUUGAAGAAUAGUUUUCAAACCUUGUCACAAAUUCAGCAACUGUAGUUAUCUGAGAAAUCUUGCUUAAUCUGCCACCAGGAAUUGUGUAAGUGGUGGGGUUGAAUUUUUUUAGCAAUGAUUUGACGAAUGCCGGCCAAGUGGUUAAAUAGUUGCUAGACUCCAUUCACAAAAACCAUUUCAGAGCAACAUCGACCAUGUUGAAUGAUGAUAUAAUGAGUUUCUGAUCUUCAGGGGUGUUAUGAAAAAUGAAAAAUGAAAAAUCUUCAGGGAUGGAUUUGUGAAUGGUCGGCGGUUAUGGAGUGGAGAGGAAGAAAUGAAUCUGGGGAAAUUUUAAUUUUAUUUCGAUAAAUAAAAUAUCUACAAAUGGGCCCUUUGUAGGGGUAGUUACUUAAGGUGCAUAAUAUAAAUUAACCAAUUAAAACUAUACAAACAAAUAACACAAUUAAUCUAAACUUAAGGAUCUAUCUGCAAAUUAACCCUUAACUAAAUUACCUGCCCAUGUCAUAGUCGGCAGUUCAGUUUGGAGCCCUCUUGGAUCGGCUCUCCUUCACUUGGCUGCUCUGACCUAAUCCCCUAGCCUCUUUCUCUUCGAUUUCUUCUUCUCCGACAACCACUUUACUGAGCUCGGUUUUUCUUCAGGUCUUCUAUUAUUCCAGCCAGUUCUACCCGCCUCGUAUCAAAAGGUUAAAAAGAGUGAUGGAUUAAACACUGGCAACCAAACCAUCGGCUUGGGACACCGCACUUGCAAAAAGAAUAAAUGUAAGUUUUUUGUUUUAUUUGUAAUCGAAAUUUAAAACUAUAUCAUUUAAUUCAGAGGAAGUCGUCGCUGUGAGCCGUUCCAUCUUGCCGUUAAUAAAUAAGCUUGUCGUUCCAUCUUCGUUUUAACGUCAUUCCAUCUUGCCGUUAAUAAAUAAGCUUGUCGUUCCAUCUUCGUUUUAACGUCAUUCCAUCUUCUUCCGGCCUUUCCUCUACGUAAUCCUAAUACUUCAACGAUGGUUCGGGUUUGACACAUCUAGUUGCCCGGUGCUCGGAGGUAGUCGUCGUCGUGACUCGUGAGCCUAGAGUUGUCCUCAAGACUCCGACGAUGACUACACCCCACCACAGGCAAGUCGCCAUCGGUUGAACCCUCCAACCCCACCGUCUUCAUUCGAGCAGAUGUCAUCAAUUUAGACAUUCUGUAAAUCGUCGGCGUGCCGAUGUCUCCGGUCUACAUCAAGGAAUAACUAUUCGUCUCCCGACCAGUGACGUCGAUCGAUCGAUCGAUCGAUCGAUCAUCUUUUUUAUUUAGUUGACGUAGUCGUAUAAAUUGGCAUGCAUAUAUAGAUCUAGAAUUGUAAUCGAUCUAUCUUUAAAGAAAUUGCAGGAAUGUACGUAAUAAUUAUGAGUUGAAAGCAGGUGUUUUUGGAUAAUUUAGUUGAAACGUAGAAAAAGAGAAGGUAGCAUGCAGGUAAAUUAUUGCAAGGUAGUUAAUUUAUUGAGCUAGUGCACCGACAG